rnacentral:tRNA from 1 species
GCCUGGGUGGCUCAGUCGGUUGAGCAUCUGACUUCAGCUCAGGUCAUGAUCUCACGGUUCGUGAGUUCGAGCCCUGCAUCAGGCU